CUGGCGGCCGUAGCGCGGUGGUCCCACCUGACCCCAUGCCGAACUCAGAAGUGAAACGCCGUAGCGCCGAUGGUAGUGUGGGGUCUCCCCAUGCGAGAGUAGGGAACUGCCAGAC
rnacentral:rRNA from 11 species